rnacentral:rRNA from 1 species
AGUGAACGCUGGCGGUAGGCCUAACACAUGCAAGUCGAACGGCAGCACAGUAAGAGCUUGCUCUUACGGGUGGCGAGUGGCGGACGGGUGAGGAACACAUCGGAAUCUACUUUUUCGUGGGGGAUAACGUAGGGAAACUUACGCUAAUACCGCAUACGACCUACGGGUGAAAGCAGGGGAUCUUCGGACCUUGCGCGAUUGAAUGAGCCGAUGUCGGAUUAGCUAGUUGGCGGGGUAAAGGCCCACCAAGGCGACGAUCCGUAGCUGGUCUGAGAGGAUGAUCAGCCACACUGGAACUUAGACACGGUCCAGACUCCUACGGGAGGCAGCAGUGGGGAAUAUUGGACAAUGGGCGCAAGCCUGAUCCAGCCAUACCGCGUGGGUGAAGAAGGCCUUCGGGUUGUAAAGCCCUUUUGUUGGGAAAGAAAAGCAGCAGGUUAAUACCCCGCUGUUCUGACGGUACCCAAAGAAUAAGCACCGGCUAACUUCGUG